UGCAGUCGAGCGGAGUUUUGAAAAGCUUGCUUUUCAAAACUUAGCGGCGGACGGGUGAGUAACACGUGGGCAACCUGCCCUUGAGACGGGGAUAACUCCGGGAAACCGGAGCUAAUACCGGAUAACACAUAUCUUCGCAUGAGGAUAUGUUAGAAGGUGGCUUUUAGCUACCACUCAAGGAUGGGCCCGCGGCGCAUUAGCUAGUUGGUGAGGUAACGGCUCACCAAGGCGACGAUGCGUAGCCGACCUGAGAGGGUGAUCGGCCACACUGGGACUGAGACACGGCCCAGACUCCUACGGGAGGCAGCAGUAGGGAAUCUUCCGCAAUGGACGAAAGUCUGACGGAGCAACGCCGCGUGAGUGAUGAAGGUUUUCGGAUCGUAAAGCUCUGUUGUUAGGGAAGAACAAGUACCUGUUGAAUAAGCAGGUACCUUGACGGUACCUAACCAGAAAGCCACGGCUAACUACGUGCCAGCAGCCGCGGUAAUACGUAGGUGGCAAGCGUUGUCCGGAAUUAUUGGGCGUAAAGCGCGCGCAGGCGGUUCCUUAAGUCUGAUGUGAAAGCCCACGGCUCAACCGUGGAGGGUCAUUGGAAACUGGGGAACUUGAGUGCAGAAGAGGAGAGCGGAAUUCCACGUGUAGCGGUGAAAUGCGUAGAGAUGUGGAGGAACACCAGUGGCGAAGGCGGCUCUCUGGUCUGUAACUGACGCUGAGGCGCGAAAGCGUGGGGAGCGAACAGGAUUAGAUACCCUGGUAGUCCACGCCGUAAACGAUGAGUGCUAAGUGUUAGA
rnacentral:rRNA from 1 species